rnacentral:misc_RNA from 1 species
GGCAGCGGCAAGCUUGGGUGUGAGCCCAGGGGCCGCUUUGCUUACCGUCCUGCCGGUCCCAGCCGUCGCUAGGAGGUCCGCGGGCCCUGCGGCAACCCUCGCUACAGACGCUGGGCGGGCGGCGACACCUGGCUCAUGGCCCCCGCGGCGGCUCCGUCCUCCUUGGCCGUCAGGGCCUCAAGCCCCGCCGCGACACCCACCUCGUACGGCGUCUUCUGCAAGGGGCUCUCCCGCACCCUGCUCGCCUUCUUCGAGCUGGCCUGGCAGCUGCGCAUGAACUUCCCGUACUUCUACGUCGCGGGCUCGGUGAUCCUCAACAUCCGAUUGCAGGUACAUAUUUAGAGCCAUGACUAAGCUAACGGCCUCCGGGGCCAGCAUGAUGGCCGACUCCCAGGGUCCGUUGCGGCGCGGCGGAGCAGCCAAUGGCGAGCCCCACAGUCUCGCGAGAGUGCUCAGGCGCUCUUCGUGGCUGCCCUCUUAGCUGCUAGCGGAGCUCCUCAGGGGGCGGCCGGGAGCCUACAAUCCCUAGAAAGAAAAUACGCCGUUCCGGAAACAGAACUGCAGUUAAGACCCUCGAAAAGAUCUAAGAAAGUGUGCAUCCUAAAACACCUGACGAAUUUCAGAAUGUGACAAAGCGCAGAGGAUGCAUUAUUUCAAAACAAAACAGAAGGCUAAAAUUUGCAGGAAAAAGAAAAUCAGUAAACCGGGAAUCCUCGGACUGGAUUGUAAGCAAGAUUUGAAUGAAUAAGAAGCUGAAGGUAUUAAGGCUGUGAUAUAGAAGGUACAUAUUUCAUCCCACAAGAGAAAACAAUAAUAAUCAGAAAUUUUCGGUGAAAAAAACGCAAAACUGUACAGGAAAAUCAUCCUCCAAGUACCAGACAUAAAAUGCUGCAAGCUUUUGAACUAAUGGCGAGAGUGUAAGAAAAUGGACUCUACUUCAGUGAUCCUGUGGCAGGACGUGGAUCAAGACUUGGAACCGCAGAAAACGAAAUCCCAUAGUAGCACAAAGCUUGGCUGUUCAGUGAAUAACAUUUAAAUAAUCGUAAAAUACAAAUGUUGUUUAUGGUUUUUAUUGUUUAAGGGCAUACUUAAUUAUGGUUACAAAGUGGAGUGCAAAUGUUAUUUACCAUGUUUUAAAAAUACAGCCGGAAAAUACAAGUGGGAAUGUUGAAGGAGGGCAGGGGAAGUAAAUGGAAUGGGGGUUAUGUCCUUAUAAAGUGGAAACUUGAAAGGUACUGUCUGUUGUUGAGUGGGGAAAGACAUUUUUAUUACUUACAGGGUAGCCAUAAAGUUUCUAAAACGGUAAUAUAUUAAAGAGGGAGAGUGGUAGGGGAGAACAGUAUGAAGUCAACAGGAAAUGGCUAAAGAUGGAGAGCUCAGGUAGAAUAGUUUAAAAAAUGAAAAUUGAUAGAGUACCUGGUGUAUUUGAAUACAGCCUAGAGAGCUUUCAUUUUCCAAAGAGUGUGGGGAUAAAUUAGUGAAUGCAUAUUUUUCAAAAUUAAGAAAACAGAACAUAUAAUUUUGAACGCUGAGAAAAAUAAAAAUUUAAAAACUACACUGUAUACACGGUAUACCUCAACUGUGAAUAAUAGUAGUCAUGUAAAGUCAGUCAUAAUUAUGUAAAUACUGAAUACUGAUUUUACAACAAAUGAUUCUAUAACGCUGGGAGGAUGGGAGAAAAGAGAUGUGUGUGUGUGUAAUGGUGGUGAGCCAAUCAAGAUCUGAUAUAGAAAAAUGCAGAAAAAGGAGUAUACACAUGUUUUCUUCGGAUUAAAAAAACUAAUAAUAAAUCACCAAGAGUGGUAAAGUUUUAAAUCAAGAUCUGAUAUAGAAAAGUGCAGAAAAAGUAGUAUACGCAUUUUUUUUUUCAGGAAAAAAUUAACUAAUAAACCACUAAGAGGGGUAAAGUGUUAAAAUAGUUGCAUUGUUCUAUAUUCCACUCAUUGUGUCCAGCAAACAGUGUUCUAUGGCUUUAAAUAGUAAGCAUCUUGCCCCGUCCAACACCAUGUCUGGCCUAGGGUAAUUGUUCUUUCUAGUCUUUAUUCUUUGUCUCCAGCCAAACUCCAUUUGGGCACAUUCUCCUAUAGCCUUUUCUACCUGAAGAUACUCUGUGUUUUAAAGCUAAGCUUAGGUGGCGCUUUUUCCAUUAAAUUUUUCCUGGAUUCCACUGACCAUAUAGGAGCUCACUUCUUUUAAUCCAUAAGGCCAUUUUCAUAGGUUGCCUUAUUUUUCCCUAAUCGUGCAUCAACUAUCUGUUUUAUAUACCCAAGACAGGUUUCCUAGACUGCGAUAAGCCAAAACAUUUUAGUCUAAAAUAUCAGAAGUGUAGUUUAAUCAAUGAAAUAGUAAUACCAAGGGAUUUAGAAUCGUGGACAUCACUGUUUCCCAGAGCACUGAUGUCCCAAUUUGUAACACAAAAGACUGUCUAGUCUUAAUCCUGAAAUGGUGACAGAGUAGGAUGCUCCAUUUGGGUGACUAUGUGAACAUAUUCCUACAACUUUUUUCCUCACAUCAGUCAUUUGUUAAAUCGAAGAUGAAGAAACAGACUUUGUAUUUAUUACAUCCUCCAACAUAAUUGGCAGCUCUGUGAGGGAAGACACUAUAUCCUAUUCAAUUUUACACCCGGUAGUAACAGUAUGUGUGUGUACUGUAUAUAUACAUAUAUAUAUACAUACACAUAUAUAAAUUUAAGUAGUAACUAUAUAUGUAUAUAUGUAUAGUUACUACUUACUAUAUAUGUAUACAGUAUAUAAGUAUAUAUGUAUAGUUACUACUUACAAUAUAUGCAUAAAGUUACAGCUUACAUUUACCUCGUAAUAUAUGUAUAUAUAUAUAUAUUAGGAGUUAAAUGUAUUAGGAGGUAAAUGUAAACUCUGUGGUUUAUCAUUUAUUCACAAUUGCUCUUAAUUCUUGGGGUAUAGUUUGCCUCCUACAUGAUGCAAUUCAGUGAAAUUCCCAGGAGACAAAACAAGAUUUUGACCUGAAUAAACCACUUAUUGUUGUAAUUCACAAGUGAGUUUAUUUUUCCUGGCACACUUCCAGGUAAUAUCCAUUAGGCUAAGGAUUUUGUUUGUUCACUGUUCUAUCCCCAAGCCUAGAGCAUUGCCCAGUGCGGAAUAGCUAAUAAAUAUUGUUGAAUGGAUAGAUGAAUGGCAAUUUUGUUGGUAUGCUCUACAUAGUCAGCAGUCAAUAAAGGAAACAUAUAUUCGUUCCUGAUAAUAAGAUGAUUCACUUUAUUGCCCAUAAAUUGGGCUUUUUCAGGCCAUCAUGCACGUUGAUUGAUCCAGAGAUCCCUCAAGCAUGAAAAAGCAGAGACAUAGGUGGUAUAGUUAUUAUCAAUAGAGAUAAGAAAUGUAGCUGGCAAAAAAAAAAAUGGGAAACGAUGCGUUACAGCUUAUUUUAACUAUAAAAGGAAAACAGUGAACAUAGCAACAUAUGUAACCUAAGGGAUAGGGGAAAAGUUGUUUUUUUUUUUAAAUUCUGGGUAAAAAUAUGUGUGAUUACUUGACAAAUAGCAUAUCAUUACCAUCAGCAUCAUUUUUAAAAUAUAUUGAGUUUUUAAUACCAGGAACUAUGAAAAACUAUUUAUAUACAUGAGCUCCGUAAUUCUCACAUAUACCCUGUGAGGAAAACAUUUUUAUCAUUUUUCAGAGAAGCAAACCGGGAUUUAGAGAGGUUAAGUAAAUUCCUAAGGUCAUGAUAACCAACCAGACCUCAAAUGAAUCUCCAGUAAUUCCUAAAGUUAUAUUUCAUAAGGAGUUCAAUUUUCUUAAAUGUGUAGAUAAUUACAAAUAAUUCUGUUUCUCAAAUUUCUGGACAGAAAUAUUACCUGGGUAAUAGUUAUUUUUUUUAACAUAACUAUUGAGGGUCUUUCAUACUAAAAUAUAAAUAUUUAACAUGAUUUGAUAUGUAAGUUCAAGUAUUUUAUACUCUGCAGCCUUAAACCUAUUGGCUUAUUUUAUUAGAGGGUUGGUGGGAUUGAGGGAUAUGGGAGCAAAGGGAGAGAGAGGAAAGAACGUUGUCCUCAGAAUGGAAGGGAAACACUUUCCUGUGCUACCCAGAGUAGAGAUCAGACAAUGUUAAAUUUUGAAGCCAUGUCUGUUCCUGUCCUGAGGAUCCCUAACUAAAUUGUGUUAGAAAAUCUUGCAGUUUGCUUUUAAUGGGAGAUGUUUCUGGCAGGACAUCAAUAGCUUUUGAUAGCGUCAAGAAGAAAAUAAAGUUACAUGCAGAAGCAUAAAGGGGUAGGAUGAAAGUUGAGGAAUAUAGGGACAAAAGAUGAGGGAAAGGAAUAUCCUAAUACUUGGAAGUUUGAGCAUGGAAAGUAGUCUAAAGACGACUUGGGAAGUUCCAAGAAAAUGAACCAAGAAAAGAACCUCUGCAAGAACUAUGAGAAUUCCCAACAAUUGGGUUGGAUUGAUUCAUAUUAGUCUAUUACUUGGGUUACCUUGAGUGUGGGGAUUCUUCUUGCAGUUUUAACACUUGUACUAUGGUCUGAAUGUGCCCCCCAAAAAUUCACAUGUUGGCAUUUAACCCCCAAAGUGAUGAUCUCAGGAGAUGGGACCUUUGGGAGGUGAUCAGGUCAUAAAGAUGAAACCCUCGUGAAUGGGAUUAGUGCCUUUAUAAAGGAGACCCCAAAAUAAUUCCCUUACCCCUUUUGCCAUGUAAGGUUAUAGGGAAAAGUCAUCUAUGAACAAGGAAAUGAACCCUCACCAGAUACCAAAUUUGUGAAUGCCUGGAUCUUGGACUUCCCAGCUUCUAGAACUAUAAGAAAUAAAUUUCUGUUGUUCAUAAGCA